UGGAGAUGUAAUAAGGGCUUGCACAUGUCAUAAUGUGAUCUCAACAAAAAGGAGGGUACAAGGGUGGCGGGGAGUGGCUCCCCACAAAGUGAAGAUAGACAAGUACAGCAUAUAAAGUACUGAUCAUCCAUGAAUGCCUCUGUAUGGAGGAAUUUUGAUUUUAAAAUCAUCUCUAUUUAUAUUGGUUUAUCUUGUUGAGACACUGCUGUUUCAGAGUAAUUUUGCCAUGAACAUUCAUCGCUGUUUCUUAGCUCUUCUCUUCCUUGGCCUGUUCUCUACCUCAGAAACUGAAGAUACUUAUGAAGUCACUAGUGUCCUGGACUGUAAAAAUCUAACAUUGUGUAAUUCUCAAAAUGCAACUGGACACUGCUCUGAUGCUAAAGAGGUUGGAAUGUGCAUCUUGCGUCUUAGGAAAACUCCAAAACAACAAACCUUAAAGAAAUAGAAAUUAAGAAGCCAAGAUGAUUGGCUCCUUUGCCAUAUCAAUAAAAUCCAAAUUUCUCUUCCUCUAGUGACAUACAUCCAUUUAUUGACAGUUUAAACAACAGCUUACAAAAGAAAUUUUGAUGUUUAGGAUAAAGUACA
rnacentral:lncRNA from 1 species